rnacentral:ncRNA from 2 species
UGCCGCCGGUCAGGAGAGCGCCCCGGUGAAGGUGGGGGCCGCCGAAGGCGCAACAACGCUCAGGCAGAAGGACUGACAAGACGCG